GAGGCAUUCCUCAAGCCUAUGCAUAAAAAAUUAUCUCAUGGACUUUACAGAAUGCCUUGU
rnacentral:pre_miRNA from 1 species